rnacentral:rRNA from 1 species
UACGGGGGGAGCAAGCGUUGUUCGGAUUUACUGGGCGUAAAGGGCGCGUAGGCGGCGCGACAAGUCACUUGUGAAAUCUCCGGGCUUAACUCGGAGCGGCCAAGUGAUACUGUCGUGCUAGAGUGCGGAAGGGGCAACUGGAAUUCUCGGUGUAGCGGUGAAAUGCGUAGAUAUCGAGAGGAACACCUGCGGCGAAGGCGGGUUGCUGGGCCGACACUGACGCUGAGGCGCGAAAGCCAGGGGAGCAAACGGG